AAACCAUAAUUUUGUAAUAGCAUGAAAAACGAUUUUUUUUAAAUGUUUUUGAGACCCUAUUUUCGUGAGGUUAGUGUUGUUUUUGGAUUUCUCGAAACAAGACUUAAUUGUAGAUGGUAAUCUGAUGUUUCUAAUGACAUAAAAUGCGCAUAAAAUGGAUGCAUAUUCGCUAAGUUAUGGCCUCUUUAAACAGGUCUCGUGAGAGUGAAAAAUCUGGAAAAUCCAGAUAUUUUUGAAGAUGAUGAAUAGUGGUUCAUCUCUUGCACUCUCAGCCUAAGCAAGUACGAGUACAUAGCUAGGCUUUCGUGGAUGUUAGCUACACCGUUGGAUUAAUCUCAAGGAGUUCAAUCCAACAGAGGUCAAAAGAACGGCAUCGGACCGCCAGAAGGCGGCGCGUAUGUGUUAUGCGCCACCCACGGCGAGUGGGUUC
rnacentral:lncRNA from 1 species